GGAGCCGUAGUGUAGUGGUCUAACAUGUCGGCCUGUCACGCCGAAGAUCGCGGGUUCAACUCCCGUCGGCUCCGCCA
rnacentral:tRNA from 4 species